AUGGGCCCGCGGGCCGGGCGGGCUCGGGGCGGCCGGGACGAGGAGGGGCGACGACGAGCUGCGAGCAAAGAUGUGCCCCGGGACCCCCGGCACCUUCCAGUGGAUUUCCUUGCGGAAAGGAUGUUGGCGGUCCCUGUGACCUGUGGAGACACGGCCAGAUCUGCCCUCCAGAUUUAUUAGGAGAAAAACCUUCCCGGAAGCUGCAGAAGGACAAAUACAGAAUCCGUGUCUGGGAGAAACCUCGUGGCCUGGUCUCCAUUAUUUGAGAUGAGUUACAUCUUGGAGGUGAGGACGUGCCUCGUGGUCUAAAGCUUCGGCACAAGGGCCCAACUGGAAUUCCACUUACGGAAGGACAGAAUAACGGGCUCCCAGAUUCACAAGCCCCACCAAGAGGAUCACCCCAGGAACGCUUGGAGGCUGAGGAGUUCACUGAGGCUACUGCAUCUUGAGACUCAGGAUGAAGACCCAGCUUGGGGCUGUCAAAGGUUUUUUGCAUGUCUGACACCCAUGACUCCACCUGGACCUUAUGGCUCCACCCAGAAGCAAUUCAGCCCAACAGGAGGACAGCUUCAACCCAUUACGAUUUCAUCUCUGCCCCAACCACUCAGCAGCAAGCACCUGUUACCUGUCCACCCCCACCCCUUCCCCCAAACUGCCUUUGAAAAAUCCCUAACCUAUGAGCUUUGAAUAAGAUGAGUACGAACUUCAUCGCCCACGUGGCGUGGCCGGCCUCGUGUCUAUUAAAUUCUUUUUCUACUACAA
ensembl:lncRNA PVT1 Pvt1 oncogene